UGCGAUAGUGGCGUGGUAGCGGUGGUGAGAUAAGAGGAGUUGUGGAAGAGAGGAGAGGUUUAGGGGUGAUGUGGUGGUGAUCUGGUGAAUAAGUGGUGGUCAACGGUGGUAGUAUGGUGGCAAAAAUCAACAACGAUGGUGGUUGAAGGAUGAGGAAAAGUGAGAAAAAGAUGAGAGGAGAAGAAUAAAAAAUAAAAAUGAAAAUUUGGGGUUGUCUAGGUGCAUGGUCGACCAAGGUAUGCUAAGGAAAAUAAAAUGGCAAUAGAGGGACAAAGGAACCAAAAGUGGAUCAUAGGAGUGAAAAGGGGGCUAUGUAUGGUAAGUUG
rnacentral:lncRNA from 1 species